GCAGUCGAACGCUGAAGCCGUCUUCGGGCGGUGGAUGAGUGGCGAACGGGUGAGUAACACGUGGGUAAUCUGCCCUGUACUCUGGGAUAAGCCUGGGAAACUGGGUCUAAUACCGGAUAGGACACGCUACCGCAUGGUGGUGUGUGGAAAGCUUCGGCGGUACAGGAUGAGCCCGCGGCCUAUCAGCUAGUUGGUGGGGUGAUGGCCUACCAAGGCGACGACGGGUAGCCGGCCUGAGAGGGUGACCGGCCACACUGGGACUGAGACACGGCCCAGACUCCUACGGGAGGCAGCAGUGGGGAAUAUUGCACAAUGGGCGGAAGCCUGAUGCAGCGACGCCGCGUGGGGGAUGACGGCCUUCGGGUUGUAAACCCCUUUCGCCCGGGACGAAGCGAGAGUGACGGUACCGGGAGAAGAAGCACCGGCCAACUACGUGCCAGCAGCCGCGGUAAUACGUAGGGUGCAAGCGUUGUCCGGAAUUAUUGGGCGUAAAGAGCUCGUAGGCGGUGUGUCGCGUCUGCCGUGAAAACCUGCGGCUUAACCGUGGGCGUGCGGUGGAUACGGGCACACUUGAGUUCGGUAGGGGAGACUGGAAUUCCUGGUGUAGCGGUGGAAUGCGCAGAUAUCAGGAGGAACACCAGUGGCGAAGGCGGGUCUCUGGGCCGAAACUGACGCUGAGGAGC
rnacentral:rRNA from 1 species